CUCCUCCUUCACCGUGCUGCUGCCUCUUUCAGAACACAUCUGGGGUGGGCUUGCUGUGUCUUCAGUUAUUCUCUUCACCAGUCAGGCUAUAUGCACUUAUCAGCAGUCAGACAAGUCUAGGGGCACGUGAAGACCAAAGACUGCAGCCCAAAGUCUAGCAAAGUCUUCUUCAGCCUGAGGAUCUUCCUGGAAGCCAAGGCAGAAGUCAGGGCUGCACUCUCCUCUCUUGCCCGGAACUCCCAGGAGUGACUCUGAGCACAGGCAGCAACAAGCCACAAGGACUCACAUUUAUGGGCCGAUUUUCAGUUUGAGAUUUCAUUUGAGAGGUGACCUUUAAGCCAGCCAAUUGCUCUGAUAAGGGACAUCUGAGGCUUUGGGGCCUUCAAAACAUGUUGGAAAACUAAAAUUGAUGUCAACAAUCUCUGAGAAUGAGCCUUUUUUUCCCCAGACCUCCCAAGCACAUGGGCUGGAAUUGCAGUUCCAAUGCCGUCCCCUGAUCCUACAGAGUGAUGUCACCUCUAGAAAAAGCCACCAGAUUCCUCCAGACCUGCUCCCUCCAGGUCGAAACUCCAGGACUUAGUACAGCAGUGCCAGCCACCAUCUGAUAAGAGUCAAUGCUGAAAAAAAUAUAUCCCGGUAAAGAAGGAUCUUUGUCUUUGGGGCCUCUGGGUAAAGGAAAACAAACCCCAUGAAAAGGAUUGACCCUGAUGUUGGCUCAUUCCUCUGGAUGGUCCCAUCUCCCCAUCGACCUCACACAAUUUGGAUGCUGCCACAAGCUUCUCAGAACAAUUCCUUCACCUCUUUCUCACAAGUGUCACUGCUGCACAGACUUAAAACCAUCUUUACGAGCUCAGAGCCCCUAAUUUCAAGUUGGCAAAAUGAAGACAGAAGAGAAAAAAGCAAGCAAUACCAAAAAGAAAAAAAAGAAAAAAAAAAACAGGAAAAAAGGGUAAAGAUACAGCUUGUGACUUUAUGACAAUUUUCGUGAGUCCAAGGAUCUUUUUAAUUCAAACAAAAUUGCCUAACAUCCAUGAUUCGAGACGCAUUUAAUAAACAGCAAAAUACUUAUUUAUAUGAUUACAAGUUGCCUUCGUCAGUGAUCUACAUCCUCCUCAGAUCUUUCAAGUGUCCUAUGUGUCUUAUGUAGUGAAUUUCUGUAUUGAGCAUCUCAUCUGAGGAAACUGGUGCCCAUUUCUCAAAAGGGCUUGCCAAGUAUUACCAACGCUUGCGGCAAACCAAGGCCUGAGGAGACAAAUAUUUUCGAACAUUCUGAUCACGAGUGUUCUGCCCCUUCCUUAGAGAGCUCGACGUCGCAGCACCCACGCCAGGGUGAGCCCUCCACAGAGGCUGCAGACUAAUGCAUCCUAGCUGACCAGGCUCCAUUCUUAGCAGGCUCCAUGGGCCCAGAUCCUCCAACUUUCUAAAGGACACUGGAAUGUAGAAACCUCCUAAUUUUUAAAUUUUGGAAACUUUGAAUGUAAAAAAAGAUCAAACUAUGUGUAAACACUGUCCGAGCCAGAGGCAUCCCUCCAGUCUUAGAUUUCUGCCUGUGCCCUUGGGAACUUUGAGGACUGAGGUUCCAAUCACCCUGGGAGAUGCCUUCCUGACCAGAUCCUGAGGACCGUGAUGAAGACAUCCAGAAGAGAAGAGCUGCUGGGUGCUUCUGAUGUGCUUCACUCUCACCGUCAGUGAUGCCUCGUUAAGGCAAGAAGCACAUGCUCUUACUCACUAGUCCCCCUUACUUGAUACUCUCUCAUUAUUUGGAUAUUUCCACCAGUUUCCAAGAAGAUGCAAGUUUGCAGUGUCUGUUGUAAAUCACUUAUUUGCUCUCUCUGUAGCCAUUCAGAGUCAUGCCUUUUUCUUUGUAGUCAUUAAAACCUGACCUCCAGUUAAACCCACAUCACUUUUCUGGGUAGGCUGUGCUGUCUCUAACAGGGACUCUGAAAUCUUCAGAAUCUUCAGACAGAGGCACUAAGACAAUGCACGAAUUUGAAACGGGACCAAGGCAUUGUUGCAUUUCCAGCAAUAUGAGGAGAGGGCUCCUUUACUAAAAGUCUACUUAAGACCAUUAUCUUACACCAAGAAGAAAAAUAAACUCAAAAAGGAUUAAAGACUUGAAUGUAAGACCCAAAACCAUGAAAUUUCUAGAAGAAAACAUAGGCAGUACACUCUUUGACAUCAUUCUUAGUGGCAUAUUUUGAAGUACGAUGUCUGACCGAGCAAGGGAAACCAAAGAUAAAAUGAACAAAUGGGACUACAUCAAACUAAAAAGCUUCUGCACAGCAAAGGAAAACAUCAACAAAAUGAAAAGGCAACCUAACAAUUGGGAGAAGAUAUUU